AACCAAACUAACGCCAGUUCUUCAGUAACUGACGAGGGCUCAAGCAUCCCCACACUAACGAGUGGAUUUCAAGAAGAUGGAGAGGGUCACCUGAAUCUUGACUUUUAUAAACAUGCAACUGCAUUUCUUCUUCAAGCCAAGGAAACUCAUCGACUGACACAGAGAGCUGUUAACCACAUCGUGAGUGGAAUCCAGCAAUAUCAGGCCGUAUUAUUGGAGCACCUAAAACAAGAAAUGAGUG